AUCCAGCUGACGAGUCCUAAAUAGGACGAAACGCGCGUCAUGGAU
rnacentral:hammerhead_ribozyme from 1 species